rnacentral:rRNA from 1 species
ACGGGAGGCAGCAGUGGGGGAUAUUGGACAAUGGGGGAAACCCUGAUCCAGCGACGCCGCGUGAGUGAAGAAGUAUUUCGGUAUGUAAGGCUCUAUCAGCAAGGAAGAAAAUGACGGUACUUGACUAAGAAGCUCCGGCUAAAUACGUGCCAGCAGCCGCGGUAAUACGUAUGGAGCAAGCGUUAUCCGGAUUUACUGGGUGUAAAGGGAGCGUAGACGGCAAAGCAAGUCUGAAGUGAAAUCCCGGGGCUCAACCCCGGAACUGCUUUGGAAACUGUUUAGCUAGAGUGCAGGAGAGGUAAGCGGAAUUCCUAGUGUAGCGGUGAAAUGCGUAGAUAUUAGGAGGAACACCAGUGGCGAAGGCGGCUUGCUGGACUGAGACUGACGCUGAGGCUCGAAAGCGUGGGGAGCAAACAGGAUUAGAUACCCUGGUA